AAACCAUGAUAAGGGCACUGUCUUUGUAGACUCUUGAAUCUUUCGCAUGCUUUAAAUAGUGAUUCUCUAUCUUCUUGAGCAAAAUUUGUAAUGUAAUUCCUCAUAU